rnacentral:rRNA from 1 species
GACGAACGCUGGCGGCGUGCUUAACACAUGCAAGUCGAACGGAAAGGCCCUGCUUUUGUGGGGUGCUCGAGUGGCGAACGGGUGAGUAACACGUGAGUAACCUGCCCUUGACUUUGGGAUAACUUCAGGAAACUGGGGCUAAUACCGGAUAGGAGCUCCUGCUGCAUGGUGGGGGUUGGAAAGUUUCGGCGGUUGGGGAUGGACUCGCGGCUUAUCAGCUUGUUGGUGGGGUAGUGGCUUACCAAGGCUUUGACGGGUAGCCGGCCUGAGAGGGUGACCGGCCACAUUGGGACUGAGAUACGGCCCAGACUCCUACGGGAGGCAGCAGAGGGAAUAUUGCACAAUGGGCGGAAGCCUGAUGCAGCAACGCCGCGUGCGGGAUGACGGCCUUCGGGUUGUAAACCGCUUUCGCCUGUGACGAAGCGUGAGUGACGGUAAUGGGUAAAGAAGCACCGGCUAACUACGUG